rnacentral:rRNA from 1 species
AUUAAUUCUAGUGGCGGACGGGUGAGUAACGCGUGGGUACCUGCCUUAACAGGGGGAUAACAGUCAGAAAUGGCUGCUAAUACCGCAUAAGGCUGCAUGGCAAAAACUCCGGUGGUAUAAGAUGGACCCGCGUUGGAUUAGCUAGUUGGUGGGGUAACGGCCCACCAAGGCGACCAUCCAUAGCCGGCCUGAGAGGGUGAACGGCCACAUUGGGACUGAGACACGGCCCAGACUCCUACGGGAGGCAGCAGUGGGGAAUAUUGCACAAUGGGGGAAACCCUGAUGCAGCGACGCCGCGUGAAGGAAGAAGUAUCUCGGUAUGUAAACUUCUAUCAGCAGGGAAGAUAGUGACGGUACCUGACUAAGAAGCCCCGGCUAACUACGUGCCAGCAGCCGCGGUAAUACGUAGGGGGCAAGCGUUAUCCGGAUUUACUGGGUGUAAAGGGAGCGUAGACGGUGUGGCAAGUCUGAUGUGAAAGGC